rnacentral:tRNA from 1 species
GGGGAUGUAGCUCAGUGGAAGAGUGCAUGCUUUGCAUGCAUGAUGUCCUGGGUUCAAUCCCCAGCAUCUCCA